rnacentral:rRNA from 1 species
AACGAACGCUAGCGGCGUGGAUAAGACAUGCAAGUCGAACGGGACAGACCGAGUAGCAAUAUUUGGAAUGUUCAGUGGCGAACGGGUGCGUAACACGUGGAUAACAUUCCGGAAAGCGGGGAAUAGCCCAGGGAAACUUGGAUUAAUACCGCAUGUGGCCGCAAGGCUAAAGACGGGGACCGCAAGGCCUGUCACUUUCCGAUUGGUCCGCGGCCUAUCAGCUAGUUGGCGGGGUAAUGGCCCACCAAGGCUAAGACGGGUAGCUGGUCUUAGAGGACGACAAGACACACUGGAACUGAGACACGGUCCAGACACCUACGGGUGGCAGCAGUCGGGAAUAUUUCACAAUGGGGGCAACCCUGAUGGAGCGACGCCGCGUGGAGGAUAAGGUCUUCGGAUUGUAAACUCCUGUCAUGCGAGAACAAGGUACUCAGGCUAAUAACCUGAUUGUUUGAUGGUACCGCAAGAGGAAGAGACGGCUAACUCUGUGCCAGCCGCCGCGGUAAAAC